UGACAUGUGGCCCAACCGGCGACAGGCCGGCGUGCUGGAUUUAUCCGUACGGGCAGGGCAAGAUGCGGUGGUGGAUCCCGGGUGAAACCACCGCCUCUCGGUGCGGGUUCGAGUCCCGCCAUGUCAU
rnacentral:tRNA from 1 species